GACGAACGCUGGCGGCGUGCUUAACACAUGCAAGUCGAACGAAGUGGCGAACGGGUGAGUAACGCGUAAUCAACCUGCACUUCAGAGGGAGACAACAGUUGGACACGACUGCUAAUAACGCAUACUGAAAGACGGGAUUGCGUCUGAUUAGCUAGUUGGAGGGGUAACGGCCCACCAAGGCGAUUAUCAGUAGCCGGUCUGAGAAGAUGAACGGCCACAUUGGGACUGAGACAUGGCCCAGACUCGUACGGGAGGCAGCAGUGGGGAAUCUUCCGCAAUGGACGAAAGUCUGACGGAGCAACGCCGCGUGAGUGAUGACGGCCUUCGGGUUGUAAAGCUCUGUUAAUCGGGACGCGGUACCGGAAUAGAAAGCCACGGCUAACUACGUGCCAGCAGCCGCGGUAAUUC
rnacentral:rRNA from 1 species